rnacentral:rRNA from 1 species
AUACGUAGGGGGCGAGCGUUGUCCGGAAUGAUUGGGCGUAAAGGGCGCGUAGGCGGCCCGGUAAGUCUGGAGUGAAAGUCCUGUUUUUAAGAUGGGAAUUGCUUUGGAUACUGUCGGGCUUGAGUGCAGGAGAGGUAAGUGGAAUUCCCAGUGUAGCGGUGAAAUGCGUAGAGAUUGGGAGGAACUCCAGUGGCGAAGGCGACUUACUGGACUGUAACUGACGCUGAGGCGCGAAAGUGUGGGGAGCAAACAGGAUUAGAUACCCUGGUAGUCCACACUGUAAACGAUGAAUGCUAGGUGUAGGGGGUAUCGACCCCUUCUGUGCCGCAGUCAACACAAUAAGCAUUCCGCCUGGGGAGUACGGCCGCAAGGUUGAAACUCAAAUGAAUUGACGGGG